AAUAAGCAAAAUAAAUAGUAACUAUCAAGUGAUAUGGUAAACUAAUGUAAUCACGAUUCAAGAUUAACAGAUUACUAAUCUUAUAUUAGAUAGUUUGAAAUAAUGAUCCUACUCUAUAUAUAUUUGUAUGGAAUUGCUACUAUUUAGCAAGGGAAAAAAAUUGCAAUCUUCAGUACUCAGUACACUAAUAUAGUGCAAUCCCAUAGGUAGGUGGACCCAGGCAUAAAAAGUUAGUUCCAGAGAGACUGUCCGCUGGACAAUCAGCUCAGUAGCAGCAACAAAUAGAAUCAAUAACAACAAUUAGAGAUAUAAAUCCAAAAAAAUGCAUCUCUAUCUCAGCUUCUGGUCAGAAAGACGACAGAAACAAACAUAUAGUUUCUUUCUUUCACUGUCACCUCACAUCUUCUUAACGGCAAUGUUAUCGGAUGAACUAAAUUGAUACAAUUUUCAUCCCGAUUCUCAUAAUUGUGGCAGGAAAGUUCGAGGAUUUGAGCUUUUCAAUAGUUUCGGAGUUUCCCUUCUUCGCUUGGUUGUUUCCCUGAGAAAGGUUCAUCUGGAUUAAUUUCAAAAGCGAUAAGCAAGAGUUGUUAUAUCAUAAUGUGGGAACUUCCUCAGAACUUAAAUAUUACCACGAAGUGUGUUCAAGUAUGUUGGAUAUAGUAAAGAAGAAUUGAGUGAAGACUACAAAUACAACCAUGUGUGUCUGUGCAUACUGAGAAAAUUGAGACUUAUAUGUUUUCUUCUUUAUGUUAAGUAUGAAUCAAACAAGUCACUAUCUAAUUAUCUGAGUAAACUUAGCCUCAUCCAAAACAGGUUGAAAGAAGGAAGAAAGGAAAAAAUAUUGUGUAAUCCAGUAAAAAUGAAGACUGUAACUUAAAUAAAUAUGUUGACAAACCUUAAUGCAAAAGGAAAGGGUGAAAACAUUGCUAGCUAGCCAAUACUUCUAUCUAGCAUGACAUACACAGAAAGUAAUUUGCGGAAUUGCAGCAAUAAUCUGAGAUCCUGUGAACUCAAUCUUAAAAGCUAAAAAACAAAUGAACAAAAAAGAAAAACAAAAAAUCAAAGCUCAAGGAUUCUAAAAGGAUCAAUUGAAACUUUCAGAAGAUUUCUUUGAUUGGACAAAUUUGAAUAGUAAGCAAACAUUACAUCUAUCACCUCUAGAAUGACAAUAUUACUAAAAAUGUCAAAAACAUCUUAAUUACAUGAUAAGAGUUUAGAAAUCGACCUAGGAGGAGCCGAUUUAGAUGUAAUGAUUCGGCGAUUGGCUGUGCGAACUGAGCCAUUUGUGAGGAAUGCGAUGGGAGGGUAAAAAAUUAAUUGGAACCAUGUGAAAAUAGUGUAACUUUUUGUCUCCGUUCAGAUGAACCUUUCGACCCUGUACUAAACAUCAAAAACAACAUGAAAUUUUGUUUUGUUUCGAUCAAAUUCUCUCAAAGAAUAAGAAAAUAAAAUGAUCAAAUGCCGCUACAGCAACAGUAGCUAUAGGAAUUCCAUCAUAUUAAAAACCAAUAAUAUCAUCAUCAUCAGGGACUUGAGGUAAUAAAAUUGAAGCCAACAUAAUUAAGAAAAGAACUUUAUGAAUAAAAGCAUUACUCAAUUACAAAAGCACUAAUAAAAUAACGAUCCGAAAGCUCAAAGUGCUAAAAGGUGUGGUCAACAAAAAGUAAAGUUACUAAUUGAUCCGUUGAUAGAGUGCAACUAAUAACUAUUGAAACUUCUUAUAGAUUAUCACUGCAGGUAGCGAAGAAAUCCAUGUUUACAUCAAACUAAAGAUCAACUAAAAAUAAUACCUUUGGAAUGUGGCUGUGAUGAAUCAGUAAGCAUCAGUUGAAAGUGGCUUCAGCUUUAAGAAUACCCACCACAAAAUAGAAACAGGAAAAAAUCAAAGCAUUUUUAGUUCUCAUAACAAUGUAAGGUAAGACCAGUUAAGGCUAAAGUUCAUUAAAAAACGUUUCAAUGGCUAGGAAUAAAUAGAAGUUUAUGUAAAAAAGUAUUAGUUUAAAGUGUAAAACUAACACAAGAUCUAUUAAAAUGAAAAUUACUUUUUGACAGAUGAGGAGUUCAUUCAUGUAGUUGGUAUGGCACAAAUUAAUGUAGGAAAACAAAGUUUGUAUAAUUUAUAUAGAAUUUAUGCAGAAUUGGAUAUCAUAAUAUGCAUAACCAUAAAAGAUUUUUGAAUUAGUUAUUCUAAGUUUUUAUUUAUUUUGUAGAUUAAUUAUACAUAUUAAACAAAAGUAGAAAUACCUGUUGAGGUUGAAGACAACUUUUUAUGGCAAAAGAAGUGUAGCCGAAAGAAUAUACUUCCAUCCAAAGAUAUAUUUAUGUAAACUCUUUCUGAAUGAUUUCAUUGUAUACCACGUUGUAAGUUGAAUGAUCAUCAUCGUCAUCUGGUGUUGAUGGUCGAAUUAAUAGUUUCAUCCCAGUGGAACUUUUUGCUCUUGAUAGUGCUACAUAGAGUUGUCCAUGCUAGAAAACAGGUUCUCGUAAAUAAAUUCCAACAAAAUCUAGUGUUUGACCCUGAGCUUUAUUUAUUUUCAUAUCAAAACAUAACCGCAAAGGAUAUUGUGUUCUUUUAAAGGAAACAGGUAAUUUUUCAUUUGCAGAUGAUAGUAGCGGUAUUUUUGGAAUAGGUACAUGUGUAUUUUUGAAGUUUUCAUUUGCAAUUGUAGCACUUAUAACAUGUUUUUGAAGAUAAUUACAUAUAAGUCGUGUACCAUUGCAUAAUCCCUCAGAAGGAUUUAAAUUCCGUAAUAACAUAACAGGAUAAUUUUUUUUAAUGUCAAUUUAUGUGGGGGUAAACCAGUAGGGUGUAGAGUGUGUAGAAAAUGUUCAUAUUGACUUUGGUCGUUUACCUCAAUAGUUUCAUCAGAUGCAACAUAUGUUUUAGGCUCACCGGGAAAUUAACUUAUAAGUAAAUCGUUGAUGUCAUGAACAAAGUCAUUUUUUGUUGUUCAAAUCACACGUGAAGUCAAUGAAAAUACAUUAGAAGAGCAUGUAUGUAGAUUUGGAUAAGUUAGUUUAAACAAUACAUCUAGUGAUUCAUUUUCAGAAGUAAAAGGUAUAAUAAAACAAUUAGGUAUUUUAAUUUUGUCAUUGUUAUAUAUUUUUUCUUGUCCAUUUCCAAUUCUUAGCAAAUAUUCACAGAAUGUCGAAUCUACUUUUGCUCGCAUAUUUUCAUAUAAGCGUAGUUUUUCGAGUUGAUUCCAAAUUUUAGAAUAUAAUAAACUUUCUCGAAUAAAAUCAUCUUUUUUCCACUUAGAACAGCAGGGAGAGUUUGUCUAAAUUCACCACUAAAGACAACAACUUUUCCACCAAAUAAGAUGUUUGUAUCCGUUAAAUCUUUCAAUAGAAUAUCAAAAGCUUCAAUUAAAUUUUUUUUGGCCAUAGAUACUUCAUCCCAUACAAUCAAUUUGGCAUCACGUAUUAAACUUGCAAGUGAGCUUUGUUUACUAAUGUUACAAGAAAAUUGUUCAUUUAUUUCAAUAGAAAAUUUAAAACAGGAAUGAGCAGUUCGUCCUCCGGGGAGAAUUGAAGCUGCAAUACCCGAACUUGCUAUUGCUAAGGCUACAAAACCUCUUGAGCGCACAGCAACUAAUAAAUCUAGAUAUAAUAAAGUCUUAGUUGUUCCUCCCGGUCCAUCAAUAAAGAAAGCUCCUGAUUUGUAGGAAAAUAUUCUAUUGAGAACUGUAUCAUAUGUUAUUCAUUGUUGAAUAUUUAGUUUUUUCUGUAGAAGUAAAUCUUCUUCUCUAACAAUGAUGUUUCUUUCAAAUAGAC
rnacentral:lncRNA from 1 species